GGCCUAUGAUGAGUACAUGUAUAAGAGUAGUGGACAGGAGUGAUUUCUGAGAACGUUUUAAUCUGAGGUU
ensembl:snoRNA